UACGGAGGGUGCAAGCGUUGUCCGGAUUUAUUGGGCUUAAAGGGUGCGUAGGCGGCUUUUUAAGUCAGUGGUGAAAGCCUCCAGCUUAACUGGAGAACAGCCAUUGAUACUGAAGAGCUUGAGUACAGACGAGGUAGGCGGAAUUUAUGGUGUAGCGGUGAAAUGCAUAGAUACCAUAAAGAACUCCUAUUGCGAAGGCAGCUUACUAGGCUGUAACUGACGCUGAGGCACGAAAGCGUGGGGAGCAAACAGG
rnacentral:rRNA from 1 species